UACGUAGGGUGCAAGCGUUAAUCGGAAUACUGGGCGUAAAGCGUGCGCAGGCGGCUUUGCAAGACAGAUGUGAAAUCCCCGGGCUUAACCUGGGAACUGCAUUUGUGACUGCAUGGCUGGAGUGCGGCAGAGGGGGGAUGGAAUUCCGCGUGUAGCAGUGAAAUGCGUAGAUAUGCGGAGGAACACCGAUGGCGAAGGCAAUCCCC
rnacentral:rRNA from 1 species